CCCGACUGCUAUCAGAGUGGGACUAAGCCAUGCGAGUCAACAUAGCAAUAUGUGGCAUACGGCUCAGUAACACGUAGUCAACAUGCCCAGGGGACGUGGAUAAGCCCGGGAAACUGAGGAUAAACCGCGAUAGGUCAUCACUUCUGGAAUGGGUAAUGACUUAAAUCUAUAUGGCCCCUGGAUUGGACUGCGGCUGAUCAGGCUGUUGGUGAGGUAAUGGCCCACCAAACCUGUAACCGGUACGGGCUCUGAGAGGAGGAGCCCGGAGAUGGGCACUGAGACAAGGGCCCAGGCCCUAUGGGGCGCAGCAGGCGCGAAACCUCUGCAAUAGGCGAAAGCUUGACAGGGUUACUCUGAGUGAUUUCCGUUAAGGAGAUCUUUUGGCACCUCUAAAAAUGGUGCAGAAUAAGGGGUGGGCAAGUCUGGUGUCAGCCGCCGCGGUAAUACCAGCACCCCGAGUGGUCGGGACGUUUAUUGGGCCUAAAGCAUCUGUAGCCGGUUCUACAAGUCUUCCGUUAAAUCCACCUGCUUAACAGAUGGGCUGCGGAAGAUACUAUAGAGCUAGGAGGCGGGAGAGGCAAGCGGUACUCGAUGGGUAGGGGUAAAAUCCGUUGAUCCAUUGAAGACCACCAGUGGCGAAGGCGGCUUGCCAGAACGCGCUCGACGGUGAGGGAUGAAAGCUGGGGGAGCAAACCGGA
rnacentral:rRNA from 1 species